UGGGGUUGAUCAUGGCUCAGAUUGAACGCUGGCGGCAGGCCUAACACAUGCAAGUCGAGCGGUAACAGGAGAAAGCUUGCUUUCUUGCUGACGAGCGGCGGACGGGUGAGUAAUGUAUGGGGAUCUGCCCGAUAGAGGGGGAUAACUACUGGAAACGGUGGCUAAUACCGCAUAAUGUCUACGGACCAAAGCAGGGGCUCUUCGGACCUUGCACUAUCGGAUGAACCCAUAUGGGAUUAGCUAGUAGGUGGGGUAAAGGCUCACCUAGGCGACGAUCUCUAGCUGGUCUGAGAGGAUGAUCAGCCACACUGGGACUGAGACACGGCCCAGACUCUACGGGAGGCAGCAGUGGGGAAUAUUGCACAAUGGGCGCAAGCCUGAUGCAGCCAUGCCGCGUGUAUGAAGAAGGCCUUAGGGUUGUAAAGUACUUUCAGCGGGGAGGAAGGUGAUAAGGUUAAUACCCUUGUCAAUUGACGUUACCCGCAGAAGAAGCACCGGCUAACUCCGUGCCAGCAGCCGCGGUAAUACGGAGGGUGCAGGCGUUAAUCGGAAUUACUGGGCGUAAAGCGCACGCAGGCGGUCAAUUAAGUCAGAUGUGAAAGCCCCGAGCUUAACUUGGGAAUUGCAUCUGAAACUGGUUGGCUAGAGUCUUGUAGAGGGGGGUAGAAUUCCAUGUGUAGCGGUGAAAUGCGUAGAGAUGUGGAGGAAUACCGGUGGCGAAGGCGGCCCCCUGGACAAAGACUGACGCUCAGGUGCGAAAGCGUGGGGAGCAAACAGGAUUAGAUACCCUGGUAGUCCACGCUGUAAACGAUGUCGAUUUAGAGGUUGUGGUCUUGAACCGUGGCUUCUGGAGCUAACGCGUUAAAUCGACCGCCUGGGGAGUACGGCCGCAAGGUUAAAACUCAAAUGAAUUGACGGGGGCCCGCACAAGCGGUGGAGCAUGUGGUUUAAUUCGAUGCAAUGCGAAGAACCUUACCUACUCUUGACAUCCAGCGAAUCCUUUAGAGAUAGAGGAGUGCCUUCGGGAACGCUGAGACAGGUGCUGCAUGGCUGUCGUCAGCUCGUGUUGUGAAAUGUUGGGUUAAGUCCCGCAACGAGCGCAACCCUUAUCCUUUGUUGC
rnacentral:rRNA from 1 species